rnacentral:rRNA from 1 species
UAUUUAUUAGAUAACAGACCAAUAUUCCUCGUGUCUAUUGUGGUGACUCAUAGUAACUGAUCGGAUCGCAUGGCCUUGUGCCGCGACUAACCAUUCAAGUUUCUGACCCAUCAGCUUUCGAUGGUAGUGUAUUGGACUACCAUGGCUUUCACGGGUAACGGAGGAUUAGGGUUCGAUUCCGGAGAGGGAGCCUGAGAAACGGCUACCACAUCUAAGGAAGGCAGCAGGCGCGUAAAUUACCCAAUCCUGACUCAGGGAGGUAGUGACAAGAAAUAACGGGUCGGGGCAUUCGCCUCGGGAUUGCAAUGAAUCGAAUUUACACCCCUUAAUGAGGAUCAAUUGGAGGGCAAGUCUGGUGCCAGCAGCCGCGGUAAUUCCAGCUCCAAUAGCGUAUAUUAAAGUUGUUGCAGUUAAAAAGCUCGUAGUUUGAUUUCUGGACGGGCGCCAACACCCGCUUGUUUAGUGUGGAGGCGGCGCCCGCCCAUCCUUCUGUUAACGCCACCGGCAUCCGUUUGCUGGCGGCGGGCUCAGAUAUUUUACCUUGAGAAAAUUAGAGUGUUUCAGGCAGGCUUGCGC